UACGAAGGGGGCUAGCGUUGCUCGGAAUCACUGGGCGUAAAGCGCGCGUAGGCGGCUACUUAAGUCGGAUGUGAAAGCCCUUGGCUCAACUGAGGAAGUGCACCCGAAACUGAGUGGCUUGAGUACUAAAGAGGGUCGCGGAAUUCCCGGUGUAGAGGUGAAAUUCGUAGAUAUCUGGAGGAAUACCGGUGGCGAAGGCGGCAUCCUGGACCAUUACUGACGCUGAGGCGCGAAAGCUAGGGGAGCAAACGGG
rnacentral:rRNA from 1 species